CUUGGAAGACGGAUUCCUCCAUCCGCUGUUUCAGCCCUUGUUUGUUUUCUGGUGGAAAUUAAUUUCUCAAAGGCCCUCCGUGUUGGAAAGGGCACGCUGAUAGGUGCAGGGAAAUAAGGAACUGGAAACAAGAUGCGCCUUAGCAGGCUGCAGGAUGGAACCUUCGUGCGUGCAGGUGGUGAGAAGUGACCUUCGGGAGGAACCCACGCUGAUGUGUUGAGUUUUGCUGGGACUCUUCAGUGCUCUUUGGGCUCUGAUACCGUGGAACCAUUUCCCCUUGCCCCUCCGUCUCUCACCCAGCAGUGCAGCACAGGAGCGCUCUGAUUGCGAUCAUGCAGUCAUCGAAGGGGUCGUCCCCCAAAAGGAUGCUUUGAUUUUCGAUGUGACACCCAGGGCUGAGCAGCUCCGCUAGCCGAGUUUACGUGGGAUGUGAGUUUUCCCAUCGCUUUACUUCGGGACGUGCGGCGUGGAGCCCUGGGGCAAUGCCGGCACCUCCAGCUGCCCCCGCCCCCUGUGUUCUGCCCCUGCUGAGGGGGUCAGCCCCGAAGAAUCAUUUGAGGAAAUAAUGUGUGAGGGGAAAAAAAAAUAUUACCUCCGGCAGUUGUGUUAUAACGGCUCUUGUGCUGACAGCCCUUUGGGAACGGUGGCAGCAGCAGGGCUGAAUGUUUUGGAGAAGAGAUCCUCAGAAGGAACACGGGAGGUGCGUUGGGACGCCUUCGCUCUGCACAGAGAUAAAGCCAGAGGGAUCCCACAUUCCGAACAAGGCAGAGCCUGAACUUGAACUGCGGGUUGUCCAAAGCUCAGGAGAGAGUUUAAAGAAGAAUGAGGCGGGGAGGAGGAAUGAAAUGCCUCUGGUGGUUGAGCCCUCUCACCUGCCGGAGGAUGUCGGGUCCGUCUGUGGCUGGGAAGUCUUUGGAUCAACGCAGGAGUGUGGAUGUAAGAAAAAAUCCUGUGCAAAGCAUCUGUGCUGGGGAGGAUGCGACGAGCGAAACGCUCCCGAGCCCCCUUCUCCACACCAGCAUAAAACACAGUGCUGUCGGUGGCUCUGAGGCUGCCCUAAGCCCAGCGUGGCGUUGUCCCCGCUCUGCUGGCUCUUGGCUGGAGCUGCUGGCACAUCACCUGUGCACGUGUGUGCAUGCAAGGAAGAAAGUAGGGGGAAGUUGUCCCUGUUGCUGUCACAGUGCUGUCCCCGCCUGGCAGAGGUGCCCUCAGCCCGUGCUGUGCUGCUGCUCCUUCAGCAUCCAGGAAAAGGCAUGGAGAUGGUCCCCCAUUCCCCAUAACAGGUUUGUGCCAACCGCUCAGAAUAUCGAUUCAAACGC
rnacentral:lncRNA from 1 species